AUUGAACGCUGGCGGCAUGCCUUACACAUGCAAGUCGAACGGUAACAGGUCUCCGGAUGCUGACGAGUGGCGAACGGGUGAGUAAUACAUCGGGACGUGCCUAGUAGUGGGGGAUAACUACUCGAAAGAGUGGCUAAUACCGCAUGAGAUCUACGGAUGAAAGCAGGGGAUCGCAAGACCUUGUGCUACUAGAGCGGCCGAUGGCAGAUUAGGUAGUUGGUGGGAUAAAAGCUUACCAAGCCGACGAUCUGUAGCUGGUCUGAGAGGACGAUCAGCCACACUGGGACUGAGAAACGGCCCAGACUCCUACGGGAGGCAGCAGUGGGGAAUUUUGGACAAUGGGCGCAAGCCUGAUCCAGCAAUGCCGCGUGCAGGAUGAAGGCCUUCGGGUUGUAAACUGCUUUUGUACGGAACGAAAAGCCCCGGGUUAAUACCCUGGGGUCAUGACGGUACCGUAAGAAUAAGCACCGGCUAACUACGUGCCAGCAGCCGCAGUAA
rnacentral:rRNA from 1 species